AACUUUCAGCAACGGAUCUCUUGGCUCUCGCAUCGAUGAAGAACGCAGCGAAAUGCGAUAAGUAAUGUGAAUUGCAGAAUUCAGUGAAUCAUCGAAUCUUUGAACGCACCUUGCGCCCUUUGGCAUUCCGAAGGGCAUGCCUGUUUGAGUAUCAUG
rnacentral:rRNA from 1 species